rnacentral:lncRNA from 1 species
UAAAAUUAAAAUUUAUUAAUUUUAUCUUUUAAAAAUAAUUGUAUCAUAUAUAUAUAAAUAUAAUUAUCUUAAGUUUGAAUUCUUUAAAGAGAUUUUUAGAUAAAAAUAUAAGAUAGAGCAAUUUGAGGAUAUUUGGAUGAGGAGGGAGACAACAAAUCUUAUGGACCGAAAGGGGGCAUCAAAAUCGUAUCUCUCAUGUCUCCUAGUAUUAGCUAUUAGGGGUACUGUUUCAUUGACGGCUUAUUUGGUAAUCGAGAAGGCACACACAACAUUGGAUCAGUUCAACGCACAUCAUCAACAUCAAGUGCACAAACUCCAUUAGUUUAAGUUCACAAAUUGCUAAAAUAUAAUUUGCCAAUUUACUUAUUCUUAUCCUUUAAGAUAUGCUUGGUUGACGGGAAACAAUUCUAACGAGGGAUUAACAAAAACCAAACAAAAUCAUGACCGAAAUUUGAUUGGGAGACUUAUUACCUAGUCUUGCCAAACCGGGUUCAUGGUCGCUGCCAAGUCUUUGAACACUUUCUGGAAGUUUGGAUGUUUCCUCUCAAAACAUCCGUCUCUCCUGGAGGAUUAUCAUGCUUUGUCAACAAACAACAUGGAAAUUUUCAAAUAUGAAAUGCCAACUACUCGUUCAUAUCGAUUAUCGUACGAUGUUAGAUUCCUUUGUUGGUUUGGAUUCUCAUUGGCAUAUGAAACUUCCCGCGAAUUUGCUCUGUUCCUUACAUGGAUGAAAUUUAAUAGUGUUAUUAUUUUUGUUUGGCCGCGUGGUCCAGUUUGGGAAGGUUCAACGUGUUCAUAAAAAGGAAGCAUACUCUCUGGAAACUGAGGUAAAGAUAUAAGUAUUUACAACUGUUUUCCAUGCUGUUUUAAAAUAAAAUUUAAAAGAAAAAGGAAUACGCGGAAAGUGGAAUAUAUAGUGUAUGAACAUUUGACCUAAGGAAGGAUCAUAAGGAAAUAUCUUGUCACAUUUACAUUGAAAAUGAAAUAAAUUUAAUUACUAUUAUUAUUUCUUGGAAUGUCUCUACCUUCAACUUGACCUUUACCAGGUUCAAUUCUAGGUUGAAUCAUAUUAGUAGGUUUUAUUUAUUUGUUCUUAAUGUGAAUAUUUUAAUUCCUUGGUC